GCAGUGGUGAGAUAAUACAGGCUCAGUUCCUGCUCUCAUGGACCUGACAGCAUUGGAGAUGAUGGAUGUGAAGGACUCAGCAUCGUGCCUGGUACAUGGACGGGUGCCUGAACUGCCACAAGAGCAUCGGUGGAGACCCCAACCAGACAUUCCCCCUUCCACAUGGAUGUCUGUUUCUCGGGCCAGCUCCAGGUUCUCGGGGCUCCCUCUCCCUCUGGCUGCAUCCAACAUGAAGCAGGGGGAGGGUCAGCAUCCCAGCAGGGCCUGGCCACAUGUGUUGGAGCUGCCCUAGCCAAAUCUGAGGGUGACUGACCUUCCGAGAAAUGAGCACCCGGCCUAUUGUUCCACCAUGGGGUGCAAACUCCAGACAGGCAGAUGGAAGAGAUUCACCUUUCCAGAACUGCAUGCCGAGCCCUCCCAGCAGGCUGCGGCUGAGGCCCUGCCUAUUAAUAGUCAAGCAGCUGUUUGCCUCCCUGAAUGAGACUCUUUAUUGCAAGCUGCGUUGACAAAACAGAUCCCGCUCCUUCCUGCCCAGAAUAUUUGGGGGUGGAGGGGCCGCAGGGAGAUGUUCCUUCCUUCCAGGGAAGUUGAGAAGGUCAGCAGUGGAAAAGACCUUAACGGUGACCCCCCUCUCAGCACUCGGGAGACCAAAACCAAGCUCAUUACCACCACUUCCUUUGCCCUCACCCAUGUUCCUAGCUCCAGCCAGCAGACCACUGUUCCCCCAGGAUUUCCUCAAAUUCUCUCCCCUCCCUUGUCCCAGUCCCAAUCUAGAAGCCUCAGAGUCAAGACCUCAAGUGACUGCCCUCUGCUGACAUCCAGGCUCUCAUCUCCCAGACCCAUGCCCCUUCAGUCCACCGUGUCUUUGAAUCUCCAUGCUCUACCUCAGCUCCUGGUCUUUGCACACACCAUUUCUCCUGCCCUCUUCCCAUGUUUAAUGGUCCCUUAAGUCUUGGUUUAAAAAGAGACCACUUCAGGAAGACUUGUUUCCCCAUACCCAACUCAGCAUGCUUCAUGCUUUGCUUAAUCUUCCUCCUUGUCUGAAGUUCUAAGGGGUAGAGUGGGUGGUUUGUUUUUUGUUUUUUUUUUUCAUUGUAUUUCUCCACCACCCACCAGGACACUAUAUGACACUGAGUUGAAUAAAAAAAAAAGGAGGGGGGCAUGUGAAUUCUUCCUUCCCCUUUCUCCCCCAACAAUGUCACCCAUCACCAUACCCUGUUAAUUCAACCUGAUUGAGAACAAGAGAUCUGGACAUGGGCCACCUGGGUUUGAAUCAUGACUCUGCCGCUUAACAGUUGAGAGAACUUGGGUAAAUCUAACCUUGCCAAGCCUUCGUUUCCUCAUCUGUAAAAUGCAGCCAGCCAUAGGGCCUCAGAGUAAUUGUAAGAGGUCAAUGAGAAAAUGUUUGUAAAGUGCUGAACCCAGUGCCUACUACGUUCACCAAAUGUUGUUAGCUGCAAAAAUAACUGAACUCAAUGCUCCAUUCACCACAGAAUCUUUCCUCCCCUCAUUAACCACAGUCCAUGAUAGUGGGCUACAGCCCAUGGGGUUGCAAAGAGUCAGGCAUUACUGGGCGAGUAAUUGCAUAUGAUGGCUGGUAUUCCAUAGCACACACUUUGAGACAUGCCUGCCUAGGCUGACCCUCCUGCUGUUGAACAGGUGAAGGAUAUGAGGCCAGAAGGAGCACAAGAAAGAGCCAUGACCCUCAGGGUGAGACGCAGGGGUGUGUCUGCGUCUGUGUCUCAGCCUGCUCAGCCAAGUCCGUGGCC
ensembl:lncRNA